CUACGGGGGGCACCAGUGGGGAAUAUUGGACAAUGGGGGAAACCCUGAUCCAGCAAUGCCGCGUGUGUGAAGAAGGCCUGCGGGUUGUAAAGCACUUUCGGUUGGGAGGACUGCUUCUAGCACUAAUAUUGUUGGAAGUUGACGUUACCUUCAGAAGAAGCACCGGCUAACUCCGUGCCAGCAGCCGCGGUAAUACGGAGGGCGCAAGCGUUAAUCGGAAUUACUGGGCGUAAAGCGCGCGUAGGCGGCUAGAUCAGUCGGGUGCGAAAGCCCCGGGCUUAACCUGGGAACUGCAUCCGAUACUGUCUAGCUCGAGUACAGGAGAGGAGAGUGGAAUUCCACAUGUAGCGGUGAAAUGCGUAGAUAUGUGGAGGAACACCAAUGGCGAAGGCAGCUCUCUGGCCUGAUACUGACGCUGAGGUGCGAAAGCGUGGGGAGCAAACAGGAUUAGAUACCCUAGUAGUC
rnacentral:rRNA from 1 species